GUAGGUGGCAAGCGUUGUCCGGAAUUAUUGGGCGUAAAGCGCGCGCAGGCGGUUCUUUAAGUCUGAUGUGAAAGCCCACGGCUCAACCGUGGAGGGUCAUUGGAAACUGGAGAACUUGAGUACAGAAGAGGAAAGCGGAAUUCCACGUGUAGCGGUGAAAUGCGUAGAGAUGUGGAGGAACACCAGUGGCGAAGGCGGCUUUCUGGUCUGUAACUGACGCUGAGGCGCGAAAGCGUGGGGAGCAAACAGGGAUUAGAUACCCUGGUAGUCCACGCCGUAAACGAUGAGUGCUAAGUGUUAGGGGGUUUCCGCCCCCUUAGUGCUGCAGCUGACGCAUUAAGCACUCCGCCUGGGAGUACGGCCGCAAGGCUG
rnacentral:rRNA from 1 species